rnacentral:rRNA from 1 species
AUUGAACGCUGGCGGCAUGCCUUACACAUGCAAGUCGAACGGCAGCGGGGGAGAAGCUUGCUUUUCCUGCCGGCGAGUGGCGAACGGGUGAGUAAUACAUCGGAACGUGCCCUGUAGUGGGGGAUAACUAGUCGAAAGAUUAGCUAAUACCGCAUACGACCUGAGGGUGAAAGUGGGGGACCGCAAGGCCUCAUGCUAUAGGAGCGGCCGAUGUCUGAUUAGCUAGUUGGGGGGGUAAAGGCCUACCAAGGCGACGAUCAGUAGCUGGUCUGAGAGGACGAUCAGCCACACUGGGACUGAGACACGGCCCAGACUCCUACGGGAGGCAGCAGUGGGGAAUUUCGGACAAUGGGCGAAAGCCUGAUCCAGCAAUGCCGCGUGUGUGAAGAAGGCCUUCGGGUUGUAAAGCACUUUUGUCCGGAAAGAAAUGGCUCUGGUUAAUACCUGGGGUCGAUGACGGUACCGGAAGAAUAAGGACCGGCUAACUACGUGCCAGCCGCCGCCGUAA